GCUACGGUGAGCAGCAGUGAGGAAUAUUGGUCAAUGGCCGCAGGGCUGAACCAGCCAAGUCGCGUGAGGGAUGACGGUCCUAUGGAUUGUAAACCUCUUUUGUCAGGUAGCAAAGGGCGCCACGUGUGGCGCUUUGCGAGUACCUGAAGAAAAAGCAUCGGCUAACUCCGUGCCAGCAGCCGCGGUAAUACGGGGGAUGCGACCGUUAUCCGGAUGUAUUGGGUUUAAAGGGGGCGCAGGAGGAAUGUCCAGUCAGCGGUAACAUUUCGGGGCGAAACCCCGUCGUGCCGGUGACACUGGCGGUCUUGAGUGAGCGAGAAGUAUGCGGAAUGCGUGGUGUAGCGGGGAAAUGCAUAGAUAUCACGCAGAACUCCGAUUGCGAAGGCAGCAUACCGGCGCUCAACUGACGCUCAUGCACGAAAGCGUGGGUAUCGAACAGGAUUAGAGACCCCAGUAGUC
rnacentral:rRNA from 1 species